rnacentral:misc_RNA from 1 species
AACCUAGCACACCUGCGGUGUGUACCUGCGGAGGGAUCAUUACCGAGUUGUCCAAACUCCCAAACCCUUUGCGAACGUACCAUGGUUGCCUCGGCGGACACGACGCCCCGGGACGGCCUGCCCUGUAGCGACCUACCCUGUAGUGACCUACCCGGCAGCGACCUACCCUGGACGCCGCCCGCCGGUGGCCUUCUGAACCCUGUUUUGUCGUGGCACUUCUGAGCGAUGUAUCGAAAUCAG